rnacentral:rRNA from 1 species
UACGGGGGGGGUAAGCGUUGUUCGGAAUUACUGGGCGUAAAGGGCUCGUAGGCGGCCAACUAAGUCAGACGUGAAAUCCCUCAGCUUAACUGGGGAACUGCGUCUGAUACUGGAUGGCUUGGAUUUGGGAGAGGAAUGCGGAAUUCCAGGUGUAGCGGUGAAAUGCGUAGAUAUCAGGAGGAACACCGGUGGCGAAGGCGGCUACCUGGACAGAAACUGACGCUGAGGCGCGAAAGCUAGGGGAGCAAACAGG